CAAAGGUGCAAAACCCAGUGCCCUUCCUUGCCUAACCCUCAUCCACAACACAUCCUUUGGAAGUGAAUCAUGGGGAUGUCUUGUCAAACCAAAGUGUGUGUGUAGCUGAGGUUUUAGGUCAGAAAUAGGAGGCAUGUAUGUGUAGGAUGGAGUGGCUGGCUUUGUCUGGAAACCUGCUACCCAAGAGAUAGGCAGACAAGUCUGUGCAGUGUGGAGGAGCUUGCUAUCAGUUUUCAGUGGCAUCUGGGGAUGAGCGUCUGGACCCACCUGGGGGAUGACGUAGGGGAGAUCAAUAUUUUUGUUUUUAUGGGUUACUCAAAUAACAUGGAGUGUCUGAUGGAGUACUAAUUUCUAAGAUAGCGAGUAUUUAAGGCGGAGAGUGUUUUGAGUUGAGAGUUUGCAUUAUCCUUGCUGUUUGUAGAAUAUGGCGGAUGUCAACUUAGUCCUUUUACUCAAAUUUAUUAGUUCGAGAUGAUCCGCAGCACGGGUAUUUCUUGAAGGAAGGAAUAACCUCUUCAGGUCGGCAGCUUGCAAGGGAUAAGAGAAUUGCAGACACAUCGCAAUGGCGACGUCUUAUGGCAAGCAAGAGCGUGGAUUUGGAGUCACGAGGAGCAGGUGGGACCAUCAAUUACUCAUCCGAAUAGGAAGAAAACUCCUAUAGAACCCUAAGGAUAAAGCGGAACUAGUUGAACCCGUGCUGUUGUCACGGAAAAUAUGAUAUUUUUUUUGAUGUAGAAGUGAAUCAUAUGUGCUGUUAAUGUCAUGUGAAUCUGUAAACCUGGUUCUGUUAAGGCAUUGUGAAUCGCUGCAUAACUCAA